rnacentral:lncRNA from 1 species
AGUACAGCUUCCACAGGAGCAAGGGAUGUCUGAGCACAAGUGGCUGAGUUCCGAGUGACUUUAUGAAGCACUUUCUACCUUCCUCUCCGGCAUGAAAACAGGGAUUCUGCACCUGCAUCAUGGACAGUCUGGCAAAAGCCUCUGCUCUGCCUCCGGGGACAAGAAACUAGAGCAAAUAACCGUUUUGAAAUUGCUAGACAUAAUGAUCAACAGAGCUCCAGCCUGUCUGGACUCCAGCCAGAUUUUUUUCCCCUUCUACAAUCAAGGAGCUUGCACGCAAUGCAUGCCGAGCCUAUUCCACUGCUAUGUGCAGAUCCGGGAUGGAAGUCUUACACAUACUGCGGAAAGAUUAAAGACAACAAUAUCCCCUUUCUCUUACCCUAGACAGCCUCAAUUUUUAACCCUUUCAUUACCUUUGAAACCAAGACGUCUUACCCAUUCAAAGGCAGGUCUCAAGGGACUUUGCAACUCCCGCACCACAUCAUACAGAUGCACAUGCCUCAUUUGGUGUAGAAAUCUCAUCUCAACAGAUCUUAUCAGAAUAUUUUAGGAACUAAUAGUGUGCUAACUAAACAUAAUGUAAUUUGUUUGUGUGGGGAAUGCAUGUUUGAAUGAACUUAUGCUGCAUGAAAUCUGGAACAAGUCAAAGGUCUGUCGAAAGAUUCUUGCAAACCUUGCAGAAGGUUAUAUACCAUUUCUGAUGAUGCUGUUCUUUAAGCAUCUUUCUCUCUCUCUCUCCUCACACACACACAUACAUACACACAUACUCGCUCUCUUUUCUCUUUCUCUAUCUCAAGAUGCACACACUCAACCAGGAAAUUAUAUCAUUAUAUCACAGAGAAAUCCAGGUUAGCUGGUGAUGUCAUCAUAUAUAAAAUUUUGCCUUUGUGGGCAACAUUUUCAAUCACCUAAUCGCUAAUGUAUGUUGGGUGUGUGCCCAUAGGAAGUUCACGUGCUCGUGGGGUUAACCGACACCCACAGGAAAGGACUAUUUUAUUCGCAGCUAUCUUUCUUUUGAAGAUGUGUUUAUGGGGCAGGAUGGGUAUGUUUAUCAAGAUAGAUGUAGUCAGAGUUUCCUGGUUCUAGGAAGCCUUAUUAAUAUGCUGUUUGAACAUUUGAAAGGUGGCUGAAUUUCAAUGAUAUAAAUAGGAUGUAGAAAUGGUGAGCAUUUUGAAAUCAAGUUGGAUAAAAAUGCUACAAUACUUCAAUUUAUUAUGACUUGGUGUUUUUUAUUCGCCACUUAACAUUUUGUAACAAUUAAAUCCUUUUUACUUUUAACUUAUUUCUUUAGGAGAGAACAGUUUUGUACCAAUGAUUUAGAAGUAAUGCUCUCUCAUGUGCUUUUAUAAGGGUAUAUCUAUGGAUUAGAUAGUAGUUGAAUUAACUUUCGUGUGAGCUAGUUCAGGGUUUGUAUUUAUUUUCAAGUCUGUUUUAUGGGUCUUAUACUGGAUAGUUACUCACCAAACAUGUGCUCAGAUUUUUAUUAAUGCACACAUUUCAGUACAUUAUUUUAUUUCACUCCAAUAAAGUUUAAUACUUUUACCAAAACAUAUUGCCAGAUUUGAGAGGUAGAUAUAGAACAACUCUGUAUACAUUCUACCCCUUAACUACCAAGUUUUGAUGUGUAAUUUAAAUUAAUCUUCAUUAGAAUAGAAUGACUGCUAUACUUACCAGUUUUUACAUACCACGUAUCUGAUACAUGAGUUUUAAAAUUUUGGAAUUUGCUCUUAAUACUUCUUCAUUCUUGCGUACUAAAAAGCAAUUAAUCUGAAAGGAAUUUCAAAGCAUAUAUGUAUAAACAGCACUACGUAUAUGUCAACAAAUUAAUAAGAUUCAUUUUGCCAAUGUAUUUUGUGACUGUUUUAAAACAAAUGAAAAAAUGUUUUGUUCUUUUUCUGCUUUCAUGUUACUAUUGUUAAGAAAAGUAUGUAGCUAAAGAAUUGACACAUUUUGUACUUAGAGAAAACAAGCUACACAAGUUAGAUGACAGUCUAUAGGGUAAGACUCCACUAUGAACUAAUAAAUAACUUCGUUAAGA